UAAUACUGCAAGUCGAACGCUUUGUGGUUCAACUGUAUUUGAAGAGCUUGCUCAGAUAUGACGAUGGACAUUGCAAAGAGUGGCGAACGGGUGAGUAACACGUGGGAAACCUACCUCUUAGCAGGGGAUAACAUUUGGAAACAGAUGCUAAUACCGUAUAACAAUAGCAACCGCAUGGUUGCUACUUAAAAGAUGGUUCUGCUAUCACUAAGAGAUGGUCCCGCGGUGCAUUAGUUAGUUGGUGAGGUAAUGGCUCACCAAGACGAUGAUGCAUAGCCGAGUUGAGAGACUGAUCGGCCACAAUGGGACUGAGACACGGCCCAUACUCCUACGGGAGGCAGCAGUAGGGAAUCUUCCACAAUGGGCGAAAGCCUGAUGGAGCAACGCCGCGUGUGUGAUGAAGGGUUUCGGCUCGUAAAACACUGUUGUAAGAGAAGAAUGACAUUGAGAGUAACUGUUCAAUGUGUGACGGUAUCUUACCAGAAAGGAACGGCUAAAUACGUGCCAGCAGCCGCGGUAAUACGUAUGUUCCAAGCGUUAUCCGGAUUUAUUGGGCGUAAAGCGAGCGCAGACGGUUAUUUAAGUCUGAAGUGAAAGCCCUCAGCUCAACUGAGGAAUUGCUUUGGAAACUGGAUGACUUGAGUGCAGUAGAGGAGAGUGGAACUCCAUGUGUAGCGGUGAAAUGCGUAGAUAUAUGGAAGAACACCAGUGGCGAAGGCGGCUUUCUGGACUGUAACUGACGUUGAGGCUCGAAAGUGUGGGUAGCACACAGGAUUAGAUACCCUGGUAGUCCACACCGUAAACGAUGAGUGCUAGGUGUUUGAGGGUUUCCGCCCUUAAGUGCCGCAGCUAACGCAUUAAGCACUCCGCCUGGGGAGUACGACCGCAAGGUUGAAACUCAAAGGAAUUGACGGGGACCCGCACAAGCGGUGGAGCAUGUGGUUUAAUUCGAAGCAACGCGAAGAACCUUACCAGGUCUUGACAUCCCUUGACAACUCCCGAGAUGGGGCGUUCCCUUCGGGACAAGGUGACAGGUGGUGCAUGGUUGUCGUCAGCUCCGGCCGGGGAAUGUGGGCUAAGUCCCGCACCAGGGGCACCCUUAUUACUAGUGGCCAGCUUUAAUUGGGCACUCUAUCGGAAAUGCCGG
rnacentral:rRNA from 1 species